AAACUGAUCUUCCCGUGAAGAAGCGGGAAUAUAUAUAUAAGACGAGAAGACCCCAUGGAGCUUUAAACCCAACAGCACCUAUUCUUUUUAAGCCCACCCAUUCAUAUAGUAAAUGCUUGUUUGGUUUUAGGUUGGGGUGACCGCGGAGUAAAAAUUAACCUCCACGAAAAAAGGCAUAAAAGCCUUAUCAAAGAAUUACACUUCUAUGAAUUAGUAAACUAAUUUUUGAUGAUCCGAUAUUCGAUCAACGAACCAAGUUACCCUGGGGAUAACAGCGCAAUCCACCUCAAGAGCUCCUAUCGACAAGUGGGUUUACGACCUCGAUGUUGGAUCAGGGUACCCCAGUGGUGCAGCAGCUACUAAAGGUUCGUUUGUUCAACGAUUAAAACCCU
rnacentral:rRNA from 1 species